CACAGGCAAUCCACUCAAUUGUGACUGCAGUAUCUUUCCAUUCUGGUCAUGGGUAAUUAAAAGAUCACACAUUGGAACCAGUGCGAAAUGUAGCAACGGAACAUUAGUUACAUCACUGCAGUCAACUCCACUAGAAACAUGUAAUCCUGAUAACUGCCAAUGUUUCAAUGGUGGGAAAUGUGUGGCAAUGGGCAAUGAUUUUUUUUGUGACUGUAUAGGAUCAUGGACCGGCAAAUGUUGUCAAGAAAGUCAGUGUACUUCGUUUGACUGUGGAUUUAGUGACUGUUAUAUAGAGCAUGUGAAUGGUACAGCUCAGUGCUUAUGUGACGACAUAUAUGUUAACUAUUGUCCUAGUAAGUCGUGGUAUGUUUAAUUCAUGUUAAUAUUAAAUAUUGUACUUCAUUUGUUUUAUUGCAUUAAAUGUAACUAGCACAACUUGCAUAUAGAACAAACAAACCAUAGAAAAAUAUUAUGUUACAUCCUACAAAUACCAUCCAUAUGAAUGUUCGUUUCAAAGAAGUUACUUAACUAAUAUUACGAGUGAAUACUAUAUGUUAUCAGUACAAGGUAAUAUGAUGAUCGCUUGAAUUCUUGAAUUCAUCUAUUUAAUACACAUGUAUGUGCUUUCAUAGACUCACUGAGUCCUAUAUUUUGCAGUUUUAUCUUGACUCUAUAUUGUCCACGUCUCAAUGCAAACUAACAGAACCAGCUUUGUAUGUACACAUAACGUGUUGCAUGUUUUUAGAAU